rnacentral:rRNA from 1 species
AACGAACGCUGGCGGCAUGCCUAACACAUGCAAGUCGAACGAGACCUUCGGGUCUAGUGGCGCACGGGUGCGUAACGCGUGGGAACCUGCCCUUAGGUUCGGAAUAACUCCCUGAAAGGGGUGCUAAUACCGGAUAAUGUCUUCGGACCAAAGAUUUAUCGCCUUUGGAUGGGCCCGCGUUGGAUUAGCUAGUUGGUAGGGUAAAAGCCUACCAAGGCGACGAUCCAUAGCUGGUCUGAGAGGCUGAUCAGCCACACUGGGACUGAGACACGGCCCAGACUCCUACGGGAGGGAGCAGUGGGGAAUAUUGGACAAUGGGCGGAAGGCUGAUCCAGCAAUGCCGCGUGAGUGAUGAAGGCCUGAGGGUUGUAAAGCGCUUUUACCCGGGAUGAUAAUGACAGUACCGGGAGAAUAAGCGCGGGCUAACUCCGUG